GACGAACGCUGGCGGCGUGCCUAAUACAUGCAAGUCGAACGCAGUGGGGACGGGGGAGUACCACGUGGGUAACCUCCCAUCAGAGGGGAUAACACUUGGAAACAGGUGCUAAACCGAUACUGAUGGAUGGACCCGGGGUGCAUUAGCUAGUUGGGGGGGUAACGGCUCACCAAGGCCACGAUGGAUAGCCGAACUGAGAGGCUGAUCGGCGCACAUGGGACGUGGACAGGGACCAGACGCCUACGGUAGGAAGCAGUAGUGAAUCUUCGGCAAUGGACGAAAGUCUGACCGAGCAACGCCGAGUGAGUGAAGAAGGUGUUCGGAGGGUAAAACUCUGUUGUUAGAGAAGCGGUAUCUAACCAGAAAGCCACGGCUAACUACGUGCCAGCAGCCGCGGUAAUUC
rnacentral:rRNA from 1 species